UACGUAGGGGGCAAGCGUUGUCUGGAAUCAUUGGGCGUAAAGAGCGCGUAGGCGGUCCGGUAAGUCCGCUCUGAAAGUCCGGGGCUCAACCCCGGGAGGCGGGCGGAUACUGUCGGGCUAGGGUCCGGAAGAGGCGAGUGGAAUUCCUGGUGUAGCGGUGAAAUGCGCAGAUAUCAGGAGGAACACCAAUGGCGAAGGCAGCUCGCUGGGACGGUACUGACGCUGAGGCGCGAAAGCGUGGGGAGCAAACAGG
rnacentral:rRNA from 1 species